UACGUAGGGGGCUAGCGUUGUCCGGAAUCAUUGGGCGUAAAGAGCGUGUAGGCGGUCCGGUAAGUCCGCUGUGAAAGUCGGGGGCUCAACCCUCGAAUGCCGGUGGAUACUGUCGGGCUAGAGUGCGGAAGAGGCGAGUGGAAUUCCUGGUGUAGCGGUGAAAUGCGUAGAUAUCGGGAGGAACACCUGCGAUGUAGAUGGCUUACUGGACCGUAACUGACGCUGAGGCACGAAAGCGUGGGUAGCAAACAGG
rnacentral:rRNA from 1 species